UGCUGGAGGUAUCAGAAGUGCGAAUGCUGACAUAAGUAACGAUAAAGCGGGUGAAAAGCCCGCUCGCCGGAAGACCAAGGGUUCCUGUCCAACGUUAAUCGGGGCAGGGUGAGUCGACCCCUAAGGCGAGGCCGAAAGGCGUAGUCGAUGGGAAACGGGUUAAUAUUCCCGUACUUGGUGUUACUGCGAAGGGGGGACGGAGAAGGCUAUGUUGGCCGGGCGACGGUUGUCCCGGUUUAAGCGUGUAGGUGUGUGUUCCAGGUAAAUCCGGUUCACUUUAACACUGAGGCGUGACGACGAGGCACUACGGUGCUGAAGCAACAAAUGCCCUGCUUCCAGGAAAAGCCUCUAAGCAUCAGGUAACACGAAAUCGUACCCCAAACCGACACAGGUGGUCAGGUAGAGAAUACCAAGGCGCUUGAGAGAACUCGGGUGAAGGAACUAGGCAAAAUGGUGCCGUAACUUCGGGAGAAGGCACGCUGACACGUAGGUGAAGUGAUUUACUCAUGGAGCUGAAGUCAGUCGAAGAUACCAGCUGGCUGCAACUGUUUAUUAAAAACACAGCACUGUGCAAACACGAAAGUGGACGUAUACGGUGUGACGCCUGCCCGGUGCCGGAAGGUUAAUUGAUGGGGUCAGCGCAAGCGAAGCUCCUGAUCGAAGCCCCGGUAAACGGCGGCCGUAACUAUAACGGUCCUAAGGUAGCGAAAUUCCUUGUCGGGUAAGUUCCGACCUGCACGAAUGGCGUAAUGAUGGCCAGGCUGUCUCCACCCGAGACUCAGUGAAAUUGAACUCGCUGUGAAGAUGCAGUGUACCCGCGGCAAGACGGAAAGACCCCGUGAACCUUUACUAUAGCUUGACACUGAACAUUGAGCCUUGAUGUGUAGGAUAGGUGGGAGGCUUUGAAGUGUGGACGCCAGUCUGCAUGGAGCCGACCUUGAAAUACCACCCUUUAAUGUUUGAUGUUCUAACGUGGACCCGUAAUCCGGGUUGCGGACAGUGUCUGGUGGGUAGUUUGACUGGGGCGGUCUCCUCCUAAAGAGUAACGGAGGAGCACGAAGGUUGGCUAAUCCUGGUCGGACAUCAGGAGGUUAGUGCAAUGGCAUAAGCCAGCUUGACUGCGAGCGUGACGGCGCGAGCAGGUGCGAAAGCAGGUCAUAGUGAUCCGGUGGUUCUGAAUGGAAGGGCCAUCGCUCAACGGAUAAAAGGUACUCCGGGGAUAACAGGCUGAUACCGCCCAAGAGUUCAUAUCGACGGCGGUGUUUGGCACCUCGAUGUCGGCUCAUCACAUCCUGGGGCUGAAGUAGGUCCCAAGGGUAUGGCUGUUCGCCAUUUAAAGUGGUACGCGAGCUGGGUUUAGAACGUCGUGAGACAGUUCGGUCCCUAUCUGCCGUGGGCGCUGGAGAACUGAGGGGGGCUGCUCCUAGUACGAGAGGACCGGAGUGGACGCAUCACUGGUGUUCGGGUUGUCAUGCCAAUGGCACUGCCCGGUAGCUAAAUGCGGAAGAGAUAAGUGCUGAAAGCAUCUAAGCACGAAACUUGCCCCGAGAUGAGUUCUCCCUGAGACUUAGUGUCUCCUGAAGGAACGUUGAAGACGACGACGUUGAUAGGCCGGGUGUGUAAGCGCAGCGAUGCGUUGAGCUAACCGGUACUAAUGAACCGUGAGGCUUAACCUUACAACGCCGAAG
rnacentral:rRNA from 1 species